rnacentral:rRNA from 1 species
AGGACGAACGCUGGCCGGCGUGCCUAACACAUGCAAGUCGAACGAAGCUCUGCGAUACAAGACUUCGGUCAAGUUGAACGGAUGACUUAGUGGCGGACGGGUGAGUAACGCGUGAGGAACCUGCCUUUCAGUGGGGGACAACAGUUGGAAACGACUGCUAAUACCGCAUAAUGUAUUCUGACCGCAUGAUCGGAAUACCAAAGAUUUAUUGCUGAAAGAUGGCCUCGCGUCUGAUUAGAUAGUUGGUGAGGUAACGGCUCACCAAGUCGACGAUCAGUAGCCGGACUGAGAGGUUGAACGGCCACAUUGGGACUGAGAUACGGCCCAGACUCCUACGGGAGGCAGCAGUGGGGAAUAUUGGGCAAUGGGGGAAACCCUGACCCAGCAACGCCGCGUGAAGGAAGAAGGCUUUCGGGUUGUAAACUUCUUUUACCAGGGACGAAGGACGUGACGGUACCUGGAGAAAAAGCCACGGCUAACUACGUG